rnacentral:tRNA from 1 species
AGCAGUGUGGCUUAGUAGCAAGAGCACGGGCUUGGGAUUCAGAAGAUGUGGGUUCCAAUUCCGCCUCUGCCA